UACGUAGGGUGCAAGCGUUGUCCGGAAUUAUUGGGCGUAAAGAGCUCGUAGGCGGUUUGUCGCGUCGAAUGUGAAAACCCGGGGCUCAACUCCGGGCCUGCAUUCGAUACGGGCAGACUAGAGUUCGGUAGGGGAGACUGGAAUUCCUGGUGUAGCGGUGAAAUGCGCAGAUAUCAGGAGGAACACCGGUGGCGAAGGCGGGUCUCUGGGCCGAUACUGACGCUGAGGAGCGAAAGCGUGGGGAGCAAACAGG
rnacentral:rRNA from 1 species